rnacentral:lncRNA from 1 species
CAUUUACUAUGCCUAUUCUGUAAAAUUUUUAAAAAUUGAACCUGACAGCUUAUUUAUUUAUUUAUUUAUUUAUUUUCAAGAUUAGGAACUACAAAGGUCAAUGUAAGAAGACUCUGUUAUGCUUCUCCUUCUCUGUAAAUAUGCUACUUUUUUUUCCUACUAGGAUAUGAGAAGACAACAUCUGGUUUUGGUAGGAGUAGAUGCAAGGUGUCCCUUGAACUUAUGGCAAUCUGGCAUUCAGGUCACUGUUCCUGUGCACUGAGUUCCUGACUCAUCGAAGAGCUGUAGUCUACAGCAACUAUUAAGCAGAUGGACAGUCCAACAGCAGCAAGGUGAAACUAGCUGAGAUUCGCUGCAGUACUUUGUAAGUGGAGCUGCCUGUUAAGAGCUGGUGUUCUCUCAAAAGAUGACUGGAUAACUCCAAGGCAUUCUUUAUCCAAGAUAUUUAACUACACCUAUACAACCUGGGGCUCUGGGAAACUCAGCAAGUGUCUCAGCUCCACAGCACACCCUCAGGAGUAUCCAACAUCUAACUGAGUGGCUCGCUGUUGAACCACACAGGUUAGGAAGGGGAUAAGCAAGGAAGGGAUUUGGGAUGCAAAGUUAUCUGCCUCAGGCCUUUUGGUGACACUGAAGGCUGUUUGUCAUGCUGUUUAGAUACAUGAAGCCUAGGGGUAACAGG